GCAGUCCUUUAGCAUCCUCGCCGCGCCCUGAGCGCGCUGGAGGCUCGCAGGCUGCGCCCUCCCAGGGCUGAUGCCGCGUCCUGCUCCGCCGUUCUGGGACGUCGGGGACAAAAGUGGAGGAGACGGGAGAGCCCGGGCAGAAAAAGCAGGACGCGCGUCCCAGGUGCCCACCUCUUCGCUUUGAGGCGGGGGCGGUGGGAUGGAAUAUGGGUGCGCGAGGUCGGGGCUGGUAACUCUCGGAGGGGCACGGCCUCCACGCUGGGAGGGAUGAAUGGACGCUGGGCCCCGGCAAAUGAGGCGCUGUGGGUCCCCAGGAAGUGGGGUACCAGGCUCUACUCCCACCCCGGCCUCUGAAACGCUUCUCUCUCGGCCGCUAGCCUAGAGGCUGCCAGGGUUGGGCACUGUUCUCACUCACACGCUCACCUCUCUCGGGCAGUCCUCGAGAUAUGUGAAUGGUGGAAUGAAUGCUCUCACUGGGGCUGUGUCAGGAUGCGUUUUUAAAUUUUCUCAAAUUAAAUGCCAACCCCUCAUUCCC
rnacentral:lncRNA from 1 species